AGGUGCUUGCAUCAUGAUUUACAUUUGAGUGAGUGGCGAACUGGUGAGUAACACGUGGGAAACCUGCCCAGAAGCGGGGGAUAACACCUGGAAACAGAUGCUAAUACCGCAUAACAACUUGGACCGCAUGGUCCGAGUUUGAAAGAUGGCUUCGGCUAUCACUUUUGGAUGGUCCCGCGGCGUAUUAGCUAGAUGGUGGGUAACGGCUCACCAUGGCAAUGAUACGUAGCCGACCUGAGAGGGUAAUCGGCCACAUUGGGACUGAGACACGGCCCAAACUCCUACGGGAGGCAGCAGUAGGGAAUCUUCCACAAUGGACGAAAGUCUGAUGGAGCAACGCCGCGUGAGUGAAGAAGGGUUUCGGCUCGUAAAACUCUGUUGUUAAAGAAGAACAUAUCUGAGAGUAACUGUUCAGGUAUUGACGGUAUUUAACCAGAAAGCCACGGCUAACUACGUGCCAGCAGCCGCGGUAAUACGUAGGUGGCAAGCGUUGUCCGGAUUUAUUGGGCGUAAAGCGAGCGCAGGCGGUUUUUUAAGUCUGAUGUGAAAGCCUUCGGCUCAACCGAAGAAGUGCAUCGGAAACUGGGAAACUUGAGUGCAGAAGAGGACAGUGGAACUCCAUGUGUAGCGGUGAAAUGCGUAGAUAUAUGGAAGAACACCAGUGGCGAAGGCGGCUGUCUGGUCUGUAACUGACGCUGAGGCUCGAAAGUAUGGGUAGCAAACAGGAUUAGAUACCCUGGUAGUCCAUACCGUAAACGAUGAAUGCUAAGUGUUGGAGGGUUUCCGCCCUUCAGUGCUGCAGCUAACGCAUUAAGCAUUCCGCCUGGGGAGUACGGCCGCAAGGCUGAAACUCAAAGGAAUUGACGGGGGCCCGCACAAGCGGUGGAGCAUGUGGUUUAAUUCGAAGCUACGCGAAGAACCUUACCAGGUCUUGACAUACUAUGCAAAUCUAAGAGAUUAGACGUUCCCUUCGGGGACAUGGAUACAGGUGGUGCAUGGUUGUCGUCAGCUCGUGUCGUGAGAUGUUGGGUUAAGUCCCGCAACGAGCGCAACCCUUAUUAUCAGUUGCCAGCAUUAAGUUGGGCACUCUGGUGAACUGCCGGUGACAAACCGGAGGAAGGUGGGGAUGACGUCAAAUCAUCAUGCCCCUUAUGACCUGGGCUACC
rnacentral:rRNA from 1 species